GAUGAACGCUGGCGGCGUGCCUAAUACAUGCAAGUCGAGCGGACAGACGAGUACCGUGCUACUCGAAUGUUAACGGGGGACGGGAGAGUAACAUGUGGUGAACCUACCUCUAAGACAGGGAUGAGUUCGGGGAACCGGUGCUGGUAAGGGAUGAACUUUUGAACGGGAGGGUGCAAGAGUGUAAGGUGGUGGUGGUGUCCGCUAUAGAUGAGUCCGCGCGGCAUGAGCUAGUUGGUAAGGUAACGGCUUAGCAAGGCGACGAUGCACAGCCGACCUGAGAGGGUGAUCGGCCACACUGGAACUGGGCCGCGGUCCAGACUCCUACGGGAGGCCGCAGUAGGGACUCUUGCGCGAUGGGCGAAAGCCUGACGGAGCAACGCCGCGCUAGUGAUGCAGGGCUUCGGAUCGUAAAACUCUGUUAUUGGGGAAGAACAUAUGUGUAAGUAACUAUGCGCGUCUUGACGGUACCUAGUCAGAAAGCCCCGGCUAACUACGUG
rnacentral:rRNA from 1 species